GGAAGCUCUGGGCUGCCGCGUGCUAAAUGUUAGGAUCAAUAGGACUGCGAGCCUGAGAGGGUGCGCUACUCUUAUAAUCCCUAACGUAGUUGGGAUUGACGUUUGUAAUCAGCGUCAUGAACCAGGAAUCCCUUGUAAAUGUGUGUCAACAACGCACGUUGAAUACGUCCCUGCCCUUUGUACACACCGCCCGUCGCUCCUACCGAUUGGAUGACUCGGUGAAAUCACCGGAUGCUUACGAGCAGAAAGUGAUUAAAUCACGUUAUCUAGAGGAAGGAGAAGUCGUAACAAGGUAACGGUAGGUGAACCUGCCGUUGGAUCAGUU
rnacentral:ncRNA from 1 species